rnacentral:rRNA from 1 species
CAAAGGUGAGCCAGUACAGGAUGGACCCGCGUCUGAUUAGCUAGUUGGUAAGGUAACGGCUUACCAAGGCGACGAUCAGUAGCCGACCUGAGAGGGUGAUCGGCCACAUUGGAACUGAGACACGGUCCAAACUCCUACGGGAGGCAGCAGUGGGGAAUAUUGCACAAUGGGCGAAAGCCUGAUGCAGCAACGCCGCGUGAGUGAUGAAGGCCUUCGGGUCGUAAAACUCUGUCCUCAAGGAAGAUAAUGACGGUACUUGAGGAGGAAGCCCCGGCUAACUACGUGCCGGCAGCCGCGGUAAUACGUAGGGGGCUAGCGUUAUCCGGAUUUACUGGGCGUAAAGGGUGCGUAGGCGGUCUUUCAAGUCAGGAGUGAAAGGCUACGGCUCAACCGUAGUAAGCUCUUGAAACUGGGAGACUUGAGUGCAGGAGAGGAGAGUGGAAUUCCUAGUGUAGCGGUGAAAUGCGUAGAUAUUAGGAGGAACACCAGUUGCGAAGGCGGCUCUCUGGACUGUAACUGACGCUGAGGCACGAAAGCGUGGGGAGCAAACAGGAUUAGAUACCCUGGUAGUCCACGCUGUAAACGAUG